CAAAUUCUGAAAUCAGAUGCCGUCAAAUCAGACACCAGGACAGCCGGCAUUGCCUCUGGGUCACAGAUGCAUUCACCCACAGGCGCUGUCCUCGCCUUGCCAGUGGGGUCUUGGUGAAGACGUGAUGCGGGGACCUUCUUUCUUUUUGUGGUUAUCUGUGCCAGCCUUCCCUGCAGGCUGCUCUUCCUCCAGCACGUUCUGUUUCUGUUACCGGCUCUUUCCACCCCCGGCAUCUCCGCCUAGAGCCACACACGUACGCGGAGCACCCACGUGGGCCAGGCUUUGUUUUGGGGCUGGCGGCACCAACGUGAGUAAGACUUAUACUCAGCCCCAGCUGCCCCCAGCCCAGAGGGAAGGGGAAGGCCUGUAGUCCGUGGGGAAGAGCGCCCAGCAGGGGUGUGGCAGGGUGGGGCGUGGGCUGGAGAAGGCCUCCCGAGGAGACGAGAGCUGAGGCCAAUUCCGAGGAAUGAAUUGUAAGCCAGGCUGCGAAGCAGGAGGGGAGAUUCCAGGCAGAGGAAACUGCUUGGGGUAAAGAAAACAAAAAACGCAAAACCCAGCAUGAUGCAGAUGCUGUGGCUCAAAGGAUUAAUUAAUUUGCUUAAGAUAAUGCAACAUGAGAAAAGCAGAUCAGGACGGAAUUCCAGAACAAGGAUUUUGCUUGGAAUAACAUCACUACUAAUUGUCUCUCUGCACCUCCUGGCUCGUUUCUCUACUCCCACACCUUCCCUGCUGACCCUAGUCAAGGAGCUGUGAACAUACAAAUAGUGCCUGAUACACUAGGGCCUCGGCAUUGGCCAUGGGAGUGAGGGAGAAAAUCAUUUAAGAGGCUUUGUAGUCGAUUUCAACAAAGAAGACAAUGCCAGUGAAGCAUCUUGCAGGAAUCCCUCCCUGACUGCUUCAGUCCACGGCGCUCUUACCUUUCUCUAUACACUUACAAUCUGUUUCAUUUACUUCCUAGCAGACUUUGCAGAAACCAUUAUUUCAUAUGAUACGUUUCCACCAUAGAAUAUAAGCUCCUUAAGGGAAGAGAUUUUUGCUUGGUUUUAUAAUGCUGAAUUCCAAGUGCCUAGAAAGGGCCUGGCAGGUCGUAGGCACAAGAAGUAUUGUUUGGAUGAAUAUAUACUUCUUGCAACCCACAGAAACUGAUAUUGGUCUGGGCCAGGCCCUGCCCUGGCUUCCAGGGAUGCAGAAGUGAAUCGAAUAACUUCCUGCCCUCUGAGCUUAUGGGGGAGACAUACAUACCUGCAUAUUCACAAGAGAUUUCAUCACAUGUAACCAAAGUAAAAAGGUGGCCACCAGAAGGGGGACUGGACCUGCUUGUUGGAAGGGUGCAAAUGGAAACUAGAGAGGUGAUUGUUCCAGACAUUCCCAGUGGGACAGGUGGCUGUGAGCCUGUGAUGAACUGAGAGCCACCACUGAGUAAAAGUUAAGAGGACAGGCUCUGGAGCCCAGCUGUCUGGGUUGAAUCUUUCUCUACCAAUUACUAGUUGUGUGAUGUCGUACCAGUGAUAUACUGUUGAGAUAAACGCAUAUUCCAAGACUCACUGCAGAGAUUCCAAACCAGCAAGUCUGGGCUGGCUAGGAAUCUGCUUCAUUGUUCCACAAACAUGUUAUGGUUUAUUGCAGAGGGUCUACAGACCAUGCCUUGAAAAGCUGUGGCCUUCAGGGAGGAAGGGUCAUGCUAACCAGCAAACUGGAAUGUCACACUGUGUGUCAUUGACAUUUUUCAGUGUGAAAUCACAAACUGUCAUUCAGGGUUAGACUUUAUACUACCCAGUAAGUGUCAUGGAAGAAGCUUC
rnacentral:lncRNA from 1 species